rnacentral:rRNA from 1 species
UGGGCGAAAGCCUGAUGCAGCAACGCCGCGUGAGCGAUGAAGGUCUUCGGAUCGUAAAGCUCUGUCCUCAAGGAAGAAUAUUGACGGUACUUGAGGAGGAAGCCCCGGCUAACUACGUGCCAGCAGCCGCGGUAAUACGUAGGGGGCUAGCGUUAUCCGGAAUUACUGGGCGUAAAGGGUGCGUAGGCGGUCUUGCAAGUCAGAGGUGAAAGGCUACGGCUCAACCGUAGUAAGCCUUUGAAACUGUAGGACUUGAGUGCAGGAGAGGAAAGUGGAAUUCCCAGUGUAGCGGUGAAAUGCGUAGAUAUUGGGAGGAACACCAGUUGCGAAGGCGGCUUUCUGGACUGUAACUGACGCUGAGGCACGAAAGCGUGGGGAGCGAACAGGAUUAGAUACCCUGGUAGUCCACGCCGUAAACGAUGAGUACUAGGUGUCGGGGGUUACCCCCCUCGGUGCCGCAGCUAACGCAUUAAGUACUCCGCCUGGGAAGUA